AUGAAAAGCACAGUUGUCUCACUUUGUGUUGACAAAGGGGAAGAGGAAAAGAAAGAUAAAGAUUGUAUGAAAACAUCAGCUUUUAAAAAAUGGAGAAUGGUUAAAGUGCUCUUAAAAAUGGCCAGAUUUAUAGCCCUAAGACUAAAGGCCCCAUUUAUUCACAGAGGAGGCUGGAAGGAGUUCUCUCCACUGCCUGGUGACUCAUCUGAGGAGCAGGAAGAUUCGCCUGCGGAUGGGAGGAUAAUUUGGUUUUCUAGAACGGUUCACUCUUCAGUUUACUCACAAAGCUUACAACUGAGAAAACAGAAAUCUGGCUAUGUCAUCCAAAUAAUUCCACUGGACACUGGUGCCUCUCAGAAUUCAGUGAAACAGCUCCUCUCUGAAGAGACCAACAAUAGUGCUUUCAUCAGAAGAGCUCCAGUUGGAGCCCAGGAAGAAACAACGGAAGGCUGGAACCAGGCAGGCUGGCUAGAGGAAAGACAUCACCUGAGUGCUUUAAUCAUGAGCAUCUUUGAGAUGACAGUGGAUGUGGGGCACUAA
rnacentral:lncRNA from 1 species